AUUGAACGCUGGCGGCAGGCCUAACACAUGCAAGUCGAACGAGUGGCGGACGUGUGAGUAAUGUCUGGGAAACUGCCCGAUGCAGGGGGAUAACUACUGGAAACGGUAGCUAAUACCGCUUACCAUCGUAUGUGCCCAGAUGGGAUUAUCUAGUAGGUGGGGUAACGGCUCACCUAGGCGACGAUCCCUAGCUGGUCUGAGAGGAUGAAGCGCCCCACUGGAACUGAGACACGGUCCAGUCUCCUACGGGAGGCAGCAGUGCGGAAGAUUGAAGAAUGGGCGCAAGCCUGAUGCAGCCAUGCCGCGUGUAGGAAGAAGGCCUUCGGGUUGGAAAGUACUUUCAGCGGGGAGGCGUUACCCGCAGAAGAAGCACCGGCUAACUCCGUGCCAGCAGCCGCGGUAAUUC
rnacentral:rRNA from 1 species